rnacentral:misc_RNA from 1 species
GAUGAAGAACGUAGCGAAAUGCGAUAAGUAAUGCAAAUUGCAGAAUCCGUGAGUCAUCGAAUCUUUGAACGCACAUUGCGCCCUCUGGUAUUCCGGAGGGCAUGCCUGUUCGAGCGUCAUUAUCACCCCUCAAGCCCGGCUUGUUGUUGGAUGCAGCGCUUAUCCCGCUCCUCCCAAAGAUAAUGACGGCGUCUGCGACGACUCCUGUACACUGAGCUUUCGGGCACGUACACGGCUAGAAGUCCAGACCCGGUCGCCGUCCCCCCCGCGGGGACACCCAUUACCACAAGGUUGACCUCGGAUCAGGUAGGAAUACCCGCUGAACUUAAGCAUAUCAAUAAGCGGAGGA